rnacentral:rRNA from 1 species
UACGGAGGUCUCAAGCGUUGUUCGGAUUCAUUGGGCGUAAAGGGUGUGUAGGUGGCGCCGUAAGUCGGGUGUGAAAUUUCGGAGCUUAACUCCGAAACUGCAUUCGAUACUGCGGUGCUUGAGGACUGGAGAGGAGACUGGAAUUCAUGGUGUAGCGGUGAAAUGCGUAGAUAUCGUAAGGAAGACCAGUGGCGAAGGCGGGUCUCUGGACAGUUCCUGACGCUGAGGCACGAAGGUCAGGGGAGCAAACGGG